rnacentral:lncRNA from 1 species
AUGGAAGAAUGUGAUUUUAGUAUUUUAUUAGAUGGUGUAAAUUUUGUUGUUAUUGUUGAUAUAUAUGAAAUGUAUAAGAAAAAAAAAACAAAUUUAUUAAAAAAAAUUUUAUUAACAUAUAAAGAAAAACAAAAAAAGAAUAAGGAUUUACAACUUUUGUUAAUAAAUAAAACAUAUAAUGAAUGGGUAGUACAAGAAAUGUUUCAAUAUUUAAAAAGUAUAAAAUAUAAAAUUCAUAUUGAAAAGGAUAUAUCUAUUGAGUUAUAUAAUGAACAGGAACAUGUGUGUGAUGAUGUUAUAGGCACUGGUAACAGUAACAGGUUGAAUUGUGAUGUAUCCAGUAGUGUACCAAUUUUAUACUAUAAUUUAAAUAAUUGUAAAAAAAGUAACUGUGAACAUUUGAGCAUUCAUGUACCAUUAAACGAGGAUAAAAAGUUUUUAAUAUUAUUUUUUUUAUUAUGUACCAACAAUAAUAAUAAUAAUAAUAAUAAUAAAAAAAAAGUUAUAAUUUUUUAUCAUAAGAAUGAUAUAUACUCAUUUUACAAUUUUGUAAAUUCAUAUAUUCCUUGUUUAUUUUUAGAAAAUACAUAUAAAAUAAAUUUAAAAAAAAAUAUUAUUAACACUUUUAAUAAAAGUAAUGAUUAUAUUCUUAUAACAAAUGAUAAAAACAUAAAAAUGUUAUACGAAGUAAAUGUACAAUUAAUUAUUCAUUAUACAUUUGAUGGUAAUAUUAAGUCUUAUUUUGAUACAUUAUCUGGUAUAAAUGUCGAAACACAAAACGAUAAAAAUAAUGCGCCUACUUAUACUACAAUAAAUACAUGUGAUAAUAAGACAAAUGAACAUAUAGGUACUAUUACAAACACAAAUCAGUAUUAUACUAGUUGCGAAACUGUACAGUCUGUUUUAUUUUAUAAUAAAAAAUUAAAUAAACAAUACGAAGUACUUAAUAAGAUUGUAAAUUUUAGUAACUAUACUUUACCUACACAAAGAGAAAUGAAAACUCUUUUUUUACAAUUUUUAAUUAACGAAAUUAAAAAUGUUGUUAUUGAAGAUGAAUAUCUUUUAAAAGAAGCAAAAAAUAUUUAUGAAAAAUAUGAUUACCACUUUGUUUCAGCUGCUUUAUAUUAUAUACAAAAAAAAAAGUUAUACAAAAAAAACAUAAAAAAAAAGAUUAUUCCAAUAUAA